UUUUUUCUAACUGCCACUACUACUAUUUUCAAAAUUUCUUCUAUCACUGUCACUCAGAUAUAUUGAACAUAUUUUCAUCACUCCUACAUGUUAUAGCAUGUAUGUUGGUUGCCUUCUCUGUUGGUCCUUUCUUAUUGCCUUAAGCCAGCCUUCCUAAUCAAGCAGGAAAGUCUGCAAGUCUCAGUUCAGAACUGAUCACCUCUGGAGAAGACUAAACUUACCCUUCUGAAUUCCUGUGGCUUGCAGUUGGAAUCCAGUGACUUUUGUUACAGGUGUUUGGUAUUUUGUCCCACUGACAAGAAAGUGACUGAUGCUACUCUAAAUAUACAAAGAAAGAAGGAAUUGCAUGCAUAUUGCAACCAUGUAAAAGACCUGCCUUCCAUAGCCUGCUCAGAAGGAGAAUUCAUCAUUGCACUUCUGAUGAAGAAGACACAUUUUUAAAAAAUCACUAAAUAAAAUUCAAAAAUAAAGCUAGUACACUUAAAAGGUUACAUGAAACUCAGUAAAUGAAAGAACAAAUAAGAUGUUGCAACAUCCUCAAAAAAAUUAGUCUUUACAUAUACAGUAAAG